CCUGCCUAGAGUUAGGCUGCCGUUUCCUAUCCUGUUUUCACAGAUGGGGCCUUGGCCAGUCAGCCUGAGGAACUGUCCCUGUGCUGAUGCUGGGGGUGCAACCCAAUGAGAAGAGGACUGGCUUUGAAGUCGGGCCUGGGUUCAAAUCCUGAUUCUGCUACAGUCAGCCAAGUGACCCUAGGCAAAUAACUGAAGACUUCUGAGCCAUUGCCGUGUUUGUAAAAUGGAUGAUGUACCUGCCCACGUCUGAAAGGACAUACAUGGCACAGUCUGAGAGCAAAAGAUUGGGGACCAGCCACCCAGUACUAUCAAUAGAAGACUGGUUUAGAACAAGGAACACUUUGCGGCGGUAAGAAAAAAUGGGGAACCUUCUCUGUGUGGAUAUGGGACAAUCUCCAGGAUGUAUGAGCAAGAAAAAGCAUGUUUGCAGUAAACAACCUUUGGAAUAAUGAAGAGGAAAACUAAGAAUGUGUAUUUACAUAAGUAAAUCCUGCAAGGACAUAACAUUUUUUAUAUCAGAAAUUGGGAACUGUUAGGGAAAAAUUAGGAGGAAAACUUCUCACUGAGCCAUUGAUGUCAUUUUUGUAUUUGAACCGUAUGACUGUUACAUAUUAAAAUGUAAAAUUUUAAAAUAUAUGAAACAAAUUAAAAUCCUAUUUGGAGGAGUUCUCA